rnacentral:rRNA from 1 species
UACGGAGGGUGCAAGCGUUAUCCGGAUUUACUGGGUUUAAAGGGUGCGUAGGCGGGCCUUUAAGUCAGUGGCGAAAGCUCCGAGCUUAACUCGGAAACUGCCAUUGAUACUAUUGGUCUUGAAUUCGGUCGAGGUUGGCGGAAUGUGUCGUGUAGCGGUGAAAUGCUUAGAUAUGACACAGAACACCGAUUGCGAAGGCAGCUAGCUAGACCGACAUUGACGCUGAGGCACGAAAGCGUGGGGAUCAAACAGG